rnacentral:rRNA from 1 species
CAGCAGCCGCGGGAAUACAGAGGGUGCGAGCGUUAAUCGGAUUUACUGGGCGUAAAGCGUGCGUAGGCGGCUUUUUAAGUCGGAUGUGAAAUCCCUGAGCUUAACUUAGGAAUUGCAUUCGAUACUGGGAAGCUAGAGUAUGGGAGAGGAUGGUAGAAUUCCAGGUGUAGCGGUGAAAUGCGUAGAGAUCUGGAGGAAUACCGAUGGCGAAGGUAGCCAUCUGGCCUAAUACUGACGCUGAGGUACGAAAGCAUGGGGAGCAAACAGGAUUAGAUACCCCUGUAGUCCCUGUCUCUUAUAC